CACGUAGGGGACAAGCGUUAUUCGGAAUUACUGGGCGUAAAGGGCAUGUAGGCGGCCUGAUAAGCCUGGCGUGAAAGUCACCGGCUCAACCGGUGGAUUGCGUCGGGAACUGUUGGGCUUGAGUCAUGGAGAGGAAGGCAGAAUUCCUGGUGUAGGGGUGAAAUCUGUAGAGAUCAGGAAGAAUACCAGUGGCGAAGGCGGCCUUCUGGCCAAUGACUGACGCUGAGGUGCGAAAGUGUGGGGAUCAAACAGGAUUAGAUACCCUGGUAGUCCACACUGUAAACGAUGUGCACUAGGUGCUGGGGCGGAUGCUUCAGUGCCGGAGCUAACGCGGUAAGUGCACCGCCUGGGGAGUAUGCUCGCAAGGGUGAA
rnacentral:rRNA from 1 species